rnacentral:rRNA from 1 species
GAUGAACGCUGGCGGCGUGCCUAAUACAUGCAAGUCGAACGCAUAGCGAAAGGUGCUUGCACCUUUCAAGUGAGUGGCGAACGGGUGAGUAACACGUGGACAACCUGCCUCAAGGCUGGGGAUAACAUUUGGAAACAGAUGCUAAUACCGAAUAAAACUUAGUGUCGCAUGACACAAAGUUAAAAGGCGCUUCGGCGUCACCUAGAGAUGGAUCCGCGGUGCAUUAGUUAGUUGGUGGGGUAAAGGCCUACCAAGACAAUGAUGCAUAGCCGAGUUGAGAGACUGAUCGGCCACAUUGGGACUGAGACACGGCCCAAACUCCUACGGGAGGCUGCAGUAGGGAAUCUUCCACAAGGGGCGAAAGCCUGAUGGAGCAACGCCGCGUGUGGGAUGAAGGCGUUCGGGUCGUAAAGCACUGUUGUAUGGGAAGAACAGCUAGAAUAGGAAAUGAUUUUAGUUUGACGGUACCAGACCAGAAAGGGACGGCUAAAUACGUG